rnacentral:snRNA from 1 species
AAAACAAAAAAAGAAAAAAAAAAGUGUAGUAUCUGUUCUUAUCAGCUUAAUAUCUGAUACGUCCUGCAUCACAGGACCAGAAUAUUAAACUCAUUUUUGGCUCAUGACGGAGUGCUAGGGGCUUGCUCCACCUCUGUCGCGGGUUGGCCCGGCAUUGCAGUACCGCCGGGAUCGGCCCACCUAAA